rnacentral:rRNA from 1 species
UACGAAGGGGACUAGCGUUGUUCGGAAUUACUGGGCGUAAAGCGUGCGUAGGCGGCUUUGUAAGUUAGAGGUGAAAGCCCGGAGCUUAACUCCGGAACUGCCUUUAAGACUGCAUCGCUAGAAUCGUGGAGAGGUGAGUGGAAUUCCGAGUGUAGAGGUGAAAUUCGUAGAUAUUCGGAAGAACACCAGUGGCGAAGGCGACUCACUGGACACGUAUUGACGCUGAGGUGCGAAAGCGUGGGGAGCAAACAGG